rnacentral:tRNA from 1 species
GACCGCGUAGCUCAGUUGGCAGAGCAUUGGGCUAAUUUUCCAAAGGUCGUAGGUUCGAUUCCCACCGUGGCCA